rnacentral:rRNA from 1 species
UGGGGAAUAUUGGACAAUGGGGGGAACCCUGAUCCAGCCAUGCCGCGUGUGUGAAGAAGGCCUUAUGGUUGUAAAGCACUUUAAGCGAGGAGGAGGGUACUGGUAUUAAUACUACCAGGUACUGGACGUUACUCGCAGAAUAAGCACCGGCUAACUCUGUGCCAGCAGCCGCGGUAAUACAGAGGGUGCGAGCGUUAAUCGGAUUUACUGGGCGUAAAGCGUGCGUAGGCGGCUAAUUGAGUCGGAUGUGAAAUCCCCGAGCUUAACUUGGGAAUUGCAUUCGAUACUGGUUAGCUAGAGUGUGGGAGAGGAUGGUAGAAUUCCAGGUGUAGCGGUGAAAUGCGUAGAGAUCUAGAGGAAUACCGAUGGCGAAGGCAGCCAUCUGGCCUAACACUGACGCUGAGGUACGAAAGCAGGGGGAGCAAACAGG